rnacentral:rRNA from 1 species
UACGUAGGGAGCGAGCGUUGUCCGGAAUCAUUGGGCGUAAAGAGCAUGUAGGUGGAUCAAUUAGUCUGCUGUGAAAGUCAAAGGCUCAACCUUUGAAAGCCGGUGGAUACUGUUGAUCUAGAGUACGGAAGAGGCGAGUGGAAUUCCUGGUGUAGCGGUGGAAUGCGCAGAUAUCAGGAGGAACACCAAUGCGAAGGCAGCUCGCUGGGGACGUUACUGACGCUGAGACGCGAAAAGCGUGGGGGAGCAAAACAG